ensembl:lncRNA
CAGCACAGUGCCCACUCCACACAAACAACCUCCUCCUCCCUCAUCACCAGAGCUGUUCUGCUGGUUAAAUAGAGAAGAAAGAGUAAAUUAGGGGAAGCUCAGCCAGCUGGUGACGAUGCACUGCCUGGUGACCUGCCAGUGCACCUGAGGAGAGAUUCUGUUGUUUUCUGUACAUUUAGCCAAGAAAAUGUCAUCAGCCAUCUUGUUUCUUUCUCCUUUGCCUUUGGAAUCACUAAAUUAAAAUAGAGUUCAGUGCUGUAUGUUUUAACUAAGAACCUUCGUGUGAGCUGACAAUCGAAAAAUUAUUUUUCUAUUUUAAUUUUUCACAAUUCUCUGAAAUGGCUGCAAACUCUGGAGUGCACCUCUGAGAGUGCAAUUAUGUCAUAUUGAGCGAAGGACCACCGAUGGAAUUGCUUGAAGCGUUAUUUAGUAGUAUUGCAGGCUCUGAGCCUUGAACACUUCAAGAUGUAAUAUGAGUAAUCCAGUGCUAUUUCCCACUUUAUCUAGAUGCAGCAUUAUUAUAGUUGCAGCUUUCUCAUUAUAAUUGUGCUAAUGGGGAAGGGGGGAAGGAGGGAGAAGAAUGAGAAAGAUAAAUGGCAGGAAGAAACUCCCUUUCCCAGCAGGGAAAAAGAGAAAAAUGAUUUUUAUGAUCUCAUUCUUGGUGUUGGUGAAAGACUGCUUAGCUGAGGACAGAGGAUACUUGCCCCAAAAGCAAACAGCAUUGGUCUGAUGAGUACCCCUCAAGGAGCAACCAUGAUGGACAACUUGGAAAAACUUUCUGUGGACAUCCCCUUCUCACAUGUUCUUCCUGUGUUCUGCUUACACUGAUGGCAUGAGUAGUGGGAGAGAAUGUGACCAAAGGUGUAAACGUACUAAAAAGAUCAGCAUAAGCCUUGGAGGGCACGAGGCAGCAUUGACACAGGUCUGUGAACUGGAGACUGCAGCUCAUUAAGAGAGGUAGCAGAGUCUGUUAGCAAUUGGGAAACUACUCAGGAAUCCUUGUUGUCAGUUUUCUUGCAUGAGGUCCUUCUUGCACACUUAACC